rnacentral:lncRNA from 1 species
GGAAUGAAAACAGUCUCUCAGUUGGCUGCAGCUUCUCCUACCGAGCACGGUUCGUUCACAGGGGUCAAUUUUUUCUGGAGAUUAAGAAAGUGCCGAGGGUCCGUUUAAAGUUUUAAGUAUCAAACUUUAAUGCAUUGCGUUACCGUCCGAUUUUCGAAAAGAUGAAGUUAGUCGCAGUGCUGACAGUAGCUGUGUGGCUCAGUCUUUACGCUCAAGUUGACAGCGUAUUCUACAUCGAGAUUGCGGGAGAUAAAGAGCCAGCAGAUGGGGCAAAUCCAGUCCAAUCGGCUUUGCUACCACAAUCGGAACCAGAACAAGGCGAUUCAGGCUCAUGUAGAAGUCUCAGAACACUCGGUCAAAAGCCAAUCAAAGGAGGAACGUAUCUCUGUUCUUAUGAAGAACCAAAAACGAUGAAGUGCAUAGAACCAGAUGAUACGGUGAAGUCAGAUAUAAACUACAAUGCCAACUUCUUCGUCGUUAGCAAGCCUCAACUCGCUACAGACUAUACCCUAUUUAUCAACGAUGUGAAACUUAAAUCACUCCCAGAUGUCAUGAUGGUUGGGUUUUCGGUGACUGGGGAGAGAGAGAAUCCGAUUUUUACUCCGCACAAAACCUGCUAUGAUAAGCAGGAAAUCGUGCGCGCCGAGGCUUUUCGCAACUUCCUUCCGAGCGAUACAAAGAAACAAAUGCAACUUACGAACUUCUUCUGCUGCACCAAUCCACAUUCGUGCCUUUUUGGCAAUCCUGUAUAUGUCAUCGAUAAUUACUUUCCGGUCAUCCGAGAUAUCCUGCAAAAAUGUAUUGAUGAAGAUGAAAAACCACCACCAUCGAAAAAAGAAUUGAGGAAGUCGAGAACUAAUAAAGGUGACCAGCCGGCCCCAACAGCAUCAGGAAAGACGACAUUAAAUAAGUCAAAGUCGUUCGUCUCAAACUUACUCGGUAAAUGGAAUGUAGGGAGAACCUUGGAACCACUCGGAUCAAUGAGGGGAUUCAAAAAAAUUUCCAACGUCCUCUCUCGACAGGGCUCAGGGAAUUCGUACGCAUCGGAUUCAGACUCGGAAAAUGGCAACACUUCUCAAAAAAGUCAGGUUCGACCAGUCCAUCAAAAUUUAAUUCAAAAUCUAGGAUCCCGUCUCUAGAUCUGAGCGUGGAGGGUGAUGACACUAUUGACUUGAUUGAGCAAUACCAGCUGGCAAUGAGAAAUCUCGACGAUGUCAUGAAAUAAUGCUCAACCGACUCAUUGACCCGUGCGUACUCAUGAAUGAAGAAGGAGUCGCUAAUGAUAAGAAUCGAAAAAAAGUUCUUCAGAGUACUUGCCAGACUUACUGUGAAUUCUUGGGAGUCGCGACCGGUAGGCUGACGUCAAAAGUACCUUGAAAUUGGUAAUUGAUUACAUCAGAGGAAAGCCGAAGAAUGUGGUGACAUGCAAGAAAUUCAACCGCGGGGAAUGUGUCAAAUCGGCUCACAGUACAAACUAUUUUUGUAAGUGUUUCAUGAAGGAUCGAAGAGGUAAAUUGGAUUCCGGGAGAAGGAUGGUUUUUUGUGACAACCAUCUCAGAAAUUUCCUCACCCCAAUAUCGAUGUGCAAGUAAGAAAAAAGUUUAAGGAGAGUGAAUUUCGUGAAUGCCCAAGAAAUCUCGCCCAG